rnacentral:lncRNA from 1 species
UAAAAUCUAAGCUUUGUUUUUCAAUUCAAAUUCAAAUUCAUCCUUCCAUAACAUUCAAAUAUUCUUAAAUACAAAAAUUUCAUGCUAAUUUUGAAAUAAUUAUACUUUAGUCCCUAUACUCGUAACUAACAAAUUAUACUUUACAAAUUAGUCCCUAUUCAUCUCUAAGCAGUUUGUCAGCGCGUAGAUCUCGAAAAGUUAUUCGAAAUAAAAAAAAUCGUCUCAAUCGGACAACCGAG